CCUGUGUCAACCGGGCGCGACGGUAAGGAGAAUGGGGACGGUUUUCCCGGUUUCCCACCCCAGCAUCAACGCAUCGGCAUACGUGCUUCUGUCCCGUCCAG
rnacentral:sRNA from 1 species